rnacentral:rRNA from 1 species
AGAGUUUGAUCAUGGCUCAGGAUGAACGCUAGCGGCAGGCUUAACACAUGCAAGUCGAGGGGCAGCGCGGGUAGCAAUACCUGGCGGCGACCGGCAAACGGGUGCGGAACACGUACAGAAUCUACCUUGAUCUGGGGCAUAGCCCGGAGAAAUCCGGAUUAACUCCCCAUAAGAUAAGAGAGUGGCAUCACUCAUUUAUUAAAAAUUUAUUGGAUCGAGAUGACUGUGCGUCCCAUUAGCUAGUUGGUAGGGUAAAGGCCUACCAAGGCGACGAUGGGUAGCUGGUGUGAGAGCACGACCAGCCACACGGGCACUGAGACACGGGCCCGACUCCUACGGGAGGCAGCAGUGAGGAAUAUUGGUCAAUGGACGCAAGUCUGAACCAGCCAUGCCGCGUGAAGGAUGAAGGCCUUCUGGGUUGUAAACUUCUUUUAUGAGGGAAGAAGCCCCGAUUUUCUAAUUGGGUUGACGGUACCUUAGGAAUAAGCACCGGCUAACUCCGUGCCAGCAGCCGCGGUAAUACGGAGGGUGCAAGCGUUAUCCGGAUUCACUGGGUUUAAAGGGUGUGUAGGCGGGCCUGUAAGUCAGUGGUGAAAUCUCCGGGCUCAACCCGGAAACUGCCAUUGAUACUAUAGGUCUUGAAUUUUGUUGAGGUUGGCGGAAUAAGUCAUGUAGCGGUGAAAUGCAUAGAUAUGACUUAGAACACCGAUUGCGAAGGCAGCUAACUAAGCAAACAUUGACGCUGAGGCACGAAAGCGUGGGGAUCAAACAGGAUUAGAUACCCUAGUAGUCC